CGGCCGGGGGCUUUCGCCCAUCUGUAAGGUUACAACUUACCGCCUUCUUCGACCACCUGACC
rnacentral:tRNA from 1 species